rnacentral:sRNA from 21 species
UGUAUCGGAAGCCUGACGAGGAUGAGAACCUCCGGGGGCAAGAGGUUCGACCCGAGCGAAGCGAGAGAACGUUGCUUCAGCAACGGCCCGCAGGGCGAGCCACGCAGUGGCGAGUCAUCCUCUAUCACCGACCA